rnacentral:rRNA from 1 species
CGACUUGGAGGUUGUUCCCUUGAGGAGUGGCUUCCGGAGCUAACGCGUUAAGUCGACCGCCUGGGGAGUACGGCCGCAAGGUUAAAACUCAAAUGAAUUGACGGGGGCCCGCACAAGCGGUGGAGCAUGUGGUUUAAUUCGAUGCAACGCGAAGAACCUUACCUACUCUUGACAUCCAGCGAACUUGGCAGAGAUGCCUUGGUGCCUUCGGGAACGCUGGGACAGGUGCUGCAUGGCUGUCGUCAGCUCGUGUUGUGAAAUGUUGGGUUAAGUCCCGCAACGAGCGCAACCCUUAUCCUUUGUUGCCAGCGAGUCAUGUCGGGAACUCAAAGGAGACUGCCGGUGAUAAACCGGAGGAAGGUGGGGAUGACGUCAAGUCAUCAUGGCCCUUACGAGUAGGGCUACACACGUGCUACAAUGGCGCAUACAAAGAGAAGCGACCUCGCGAGAGCAAGCGGACCUCACAAAGUGCGUCGUAGUCCGGAUCGGAGUCUGCAACUUGACUCCGUGAAGUCGGAAUCGCUAGUAAUCGUGGAUCAGAAUGUCACGGUGAAUACGUUCCCGGGCCUUGUACACACCGCCCGUCACACCAUGGGAGUGGGUUGCAAAAGAAGUAGGUAGCUUAACCUUCGGGAGGGCGCUUACCACUUUGUGAUUCAUGACUGGGGUGAAGUCGUAACAAGGUAUC